rnacentral:tRNA from 1 species
GGCACAGUGGUUAAGCAUUUGGGUGCUAACUAAAAGGUCGGUGGUUUGAACCCGCCCAGUGCCU